UACGGAGGGUGCAAGCGUUAUCCGGAUUCACUGGGCUUAAAGGGCGCGUAGGCGGGCUGUCAAGUCUGGGGUGAAAUUCCGCGGCUCAACCGUGGAACUGCCUUAGAUACUGACGGCCUCGAGGGAGGUAGGGGCAUGCGGAACUGAUGGUGGAGCGGUGAAAUGCGUUGAUAUCAUCAGGAACUCCGGUGGCGAAGGCGGCGUGCUGGACCUUUUCUGACGCUGAGGCGCGAAAGCCAGGGGAGCAAACGGG
rnacentral:rRNA from 1 species